UCCCUGGUGGCUCAGAGGGUAAAGCGUCUGCCUGCAAUGCAGGAGACCCGGGUUUGAUCCCUGGGUUGGGAA
rfam:Ovis aries breed Texel chromosome 10, whole genome shotgun sequence.